GGGUCUGUUACAACAUCUUGGGGUCUGUUUUAAUGAAAGCAAUCUGUUAUAUAUAUUUACAUGUUUACUUUAAAAGUUUAUAUUUGGUAGGCUUUCUAACUAUUUUGAUGAGCGCGUUACUGAUGAGCUUAAGUAGACGAAAGGCGCGUCUGACGCAUCAAAUUUGAAGACCGAUACCCAUUCACACAUCAAAUCUACAUAAAGAAGAACUACCAGGAUCAUUUUCUUCAGUUUAUAUCAUACCACACGGAACUGUGGUCCGUUAUCAUAGUCCGUCAGCUCUUUUCUUGUCACGAAAACUCCAUUGAAAACUCACAAGCGAUUUUUAUGCAGCCUUGUAGUUAAUAAUUAAAUACUUUUUCGAUGCAUUUAUCUGUUUUUUUGUUUUCAUUUAUAAAUUAUGCCUAUAUACAAGUAAUGUUCGACCUGAACAUACUACUGCAACAGUUUGUCAUCGCAACAUUCAACAGUUUUACGAGUCUGUGCAGAUAAUAAGUGCGUACAUGAAAACGUUUGUAAAAAGGAAUAUCCCGAAAUAACAGAGGGAUCAGUUGACUCUGCAAGCAGUUAUGAGUCCUUGAAAUUAUGAAUCUGGUGAUGAGAUGUUGUUUGCCAGGGGAGGUAAAUUGCACGUAAGGUACGCCUUCGGGUUUGUGACCUUGAUUCAACAUUUAUGAUACUCCAUUUGAACAUAAGCAUAUUGAUGUCAUCAGCUUGAAACCAGUAAUCUAUCUUAGGACUUUCCCCAGUGUAAAAAAUAUUCCAGAAACAAAUAAAGUUAUAUACAUAUGAACUCCAAAAACAACGAUACACGAA
rnacentral:lncRNA from 1 species